rnacentral:rRNA from 1 species
GACGAACGCUGGCGGCGUGCUUAACACAUGCAAGUCGAACGGAAAGGCCCUGCUUUUGUGGGGUGCUCGAGUGGCGAACGGGUGAGUAACACGUGAGUAACCUGCCCUUGACUGUGGGAUAACUUCAGGAAACUGGGGCUAAUACCGGAUAGGAGCUCCUGCUGCUUGGUGUGGGUUGGAAAGUUUCGGCGGUUGGGGAUGGACUCGCGGCUUAUCAGCUUGUUGGUGGGGUAGUGGCUUACCAAGGCUUUGACGGGUAGCCGGCCUGAGAGGGUGACCGGCCACAUUGGGACUGAGAUACGGCCCAGACUCCUACGGGAGGCAGCAGUGGGGGAUAUUGCACAAUGGGCGGAAGCCUGAUGCAGCAACGCCGCGUGCGGGAUGACGGCCUUCGGGUUGUAAACCGCUUUCGCCUGUGACGAAGCGUGAGUGACGGUAAUGGGUAAAGAAGCACCGGCUAACUACGUG